UCAAAGCCUCUUUUCCUGGCUAUUCUCUCUUGCAUUUAAGUUUCUAACCAAAGCCUAUCUAUUUAGUCUCGAUUCAACCAAACAAAAACCGUUCCUCCUCCGUUGUCAACUUUGAAAACAUUUGGCCAGUUCCUCCUCUCUCUCCUCCUAUAAUGUUCAUCUGAAAACAUAAAAGCAUACAGUUUCCCAUCUCUUCUACAACUCCAACAAUGUUCAACAUCUCACAAGUUAAGGUUCCGAGUUCCGACUCCGAUUGCAACUCGCCGUCGCGAUUUGACCACAAAAAAAGGGGAUGCCCUUGGGCUAGAGCAACUAUGAAGACUUCAUUGAGCUGGCUCUUGGGCUAGGGCAAUCGGGAUGCUUUUUUUUUUUUUGGGCUUUAAGGAAGUGAAGUGUCACUAGGGACUUGGUUACGCUACUUGAAAGGUUUGAGGAUCGAACCAAAAGAUCUUGGGGUUAUUUGGACAGGUUAGGUGCAGUUAAAAGAUAUUAGCUCACGUAUUUCUUAUUUGGGUAUUGGAAAUUUGAGCUGCUACAAUUAAUAUUCUAGCACUGAUUUUGCUUCUGGGAAGCUAAUGGAUUUGGACCAUUUAGUGGGA